rnacentral:rRNA from 1 species
AUUGAACGCUGGCGGCAUGCCUUACACAUGCAAGUCGAACGGUAACAGGUCUUCGGAUGCUGACGAGUGGCGAACGGGUGAGUAAUACAUCGGAACGUGCCCAGACGUGGGGGAUAACGAGGCGAAAGCUUUGCUAAUACCGCAUACGAUCUAAGGAUGAAAGCAGGGGACCGCAAGGCCUUGUGCGUUUGUAGCGGCCGAUGGCAGAUUAGGUAGUUGGUGUGAUAAAAGCUUACCAAGCCGACGAUCUGUAGCUGGUCUGAGAGGACGACCAGCCACACUGGGACUGAGACACGGCCCAGACUCCUACGGGAGGCAGCAGUGGGGAAUUUUGGACAAUGGGCGAAAGCCUGAUCCAGCAAUGCCGCGUGCAGGAUGAAGGCCUUCGGGUUGUAAACUGCUUUUGUACGGAACGAAAAGGCUCUGGCUAAUACCUGGGGCACAUGACGGUACCGUAAGAAUAAGCACCGGCUAACUACGUG